UAAUAAGAAACAAAAGUUUGUAACUAAUUUCGACCUAGUUCUUGGUAAGAAAAUUACCCUUAUUUU
rnacentral:tRNA from 1 species